rnacentral:rRNA from 1 species
GGAGGACAGUUGGGAUCGAAAGACCUUAUGCUUUUGGAGCGGCCGAUGUCUGAUUAGCUAGUUGGUAAGGUAAUGGCUUACCAAGGCGACGAUCAGUAGUUGGUCUGAGAGGACGACCAGCCACACUGGGACUGAGACACGGCCCAGACUCCUACGGGAGGCAGCAGUGGGGAAUUCUGGACAAUGGGCGAAAGCCUGAUCCGGCAAUGCCGCGUGAGUGAAGAAGGCCUUCGGGUUGUAAAGCUCUUUCAGUUGAGAAGAAAAGAUUAUGACUAAUAAUCAUAAUUCAUGACGGUAUCAACAGAAGAAGCACCGGCUAACUACGUGCCAGCAGCCGCGGUAAUACGUAGGGUGCGAGCGUUAAUCGGAAUUACUGGGCGUAAAGGGUGCGCAGGCGGUUCUGUAAGUCAGAUGUGAAAUCCCCGGGCUUAACCUGGGAAUUGCGUUUGAAACUACAAGGCUAGAAGGGG